CCUACGGGGAGGCAGCAGUAGGGAAUCUUCACAAUGGGCGCAAGCCUGAUGGAGCAACACCGCGUGAGUGAAGAAGGGUUUCGGCUCGUAAAGCUCUGUUGUUAAAGAAGAACACGUAUGAGAGUAACUGUUCAUACGUUGACGGUAUUUAACCAGAAAGUCACGGCUAACUACGUGCCAGCAGCCGCGGUAAUACGUAGGUGGCAAGCGUUAUCCGGAUUUAUUGGGCGUAAAGAGAGUGCAGGCGGUUUUCUAAGUCUGAUGUGAAAGCCUUCGGCUUAACCGGAGAAGUGCAUCGGAAACUGGAUAACUUGAGUGCAGAAGAGGGUAGUGGAACUCCAUGUGUAGCGGUGGAAUGCGUAGAUAUAUGGAAGAACACCAGUGGCGAAGGCGGCUACCUGGUCUGCAACUGACGCUGAGACUCGAAAGCAUGGGUAGCGAACAGGAUUAGAUACCCUGGUAG
rnacentral:rRNA from 1 species